rnacentral:lncRNA from 1 species
CCAUGUGGCAGGGGGUUCUUCUCUUUUCCCAACAAGGCUGAGAGCCAAGAAAGGACCUCAGAGCCCUGGAGCUGAGAGAAAGUUGAUUUGUCCCAGUUUUCACUUUAUCGUCAUUAGAUUUAGGGCCCACCUGGGUAGUUCAGGAUGAUCUCAUCUCAACAUCCUUAAUUACCUCUGCAAAGACCGUUUAUACAAAUCAGGCCAUAUUUACACGUUCUGGGGGUAAGGACAUGGACGUAUCUUUUUGGGAGCCACCAUUUAACCUACUGCAUCCACUAAUCCUGCAAAAUAUCACAUUGGAUUAUGACUAAAAAGUCAGGAUAAGUCAGUGAUGACUGGGGUGGGUGAGGGGCUCACUCCUCUCCAUGGUAACAUCACUGCUUCUUUGCUUAGUCUCAAGGAAGGGUCAUGAUCCACCACCUUCAAAGACUUUCUCACUGCCCUCAUUUUUAUAUGGCAGGAAUCGGAGAUGAAAACAAAUGUAACAAACCCGACUUGAAGGCAAACAAAGAUCAUCAAAGGCAACAAGAAUAGGAAGCAGCUUACAGUGGGAAGAAAGUGCCCAUCUAGACUGA